GAUGAACGCUAGCGGGAGGCCUAAUACAUGCAAGUCGAACGGUAAAUGGUAGCAAUACUAUGAGAGUGGCGUACGGGUGCGUAACGCGUACACAACCUGCCUUGUACUGGGGGAUAGCCUCGGGAAACUGAGAUUAAUACCCCAUAAUUUUACGAUGUGGCAUCACAUUGUAAUUAAAGCUCCGGCGGUACAAGAUGGGUGUGCGUCCGAUUAGGUAGUUGGUGAGGUAACGGCUCACCAAGCGGACGAGCGGUAGCUGGUCUGAGAGGACGGUCAGCCACACGGGCACUGUGACACGGGCCCGACUCCGACAGGAGGCAGCAGUAGGGAAUAUUGGACAAUGGACGCAAGUCUGAUCCAGCCAUCCCGCGUGAAGGAUUAAGGCCCUCUGGGUUGUAAACUUCUUUUCUUUGGGAAUAAAAAGCGGUAUUCAUAUCGCCUUGAAGGUACCAGGGGAAUAAGCACCGGCUAACUCCGUGCCAGCCGCCGCAGUAA
rnacentral:rRNA from 1 species